rnacentral:rRNA from 1 species
ACACAUGCAAGUCGAACGAGAGAGAGGGAGCUUGCUUCCUUGAUCGAGUGGCGAACGGGUGAGUAACGCGUGAGGAACCUGCCUCAAAGAGGGGGACAACAGUUGGAAACGACUGCUAAUACCGCAUAAGCCCACGGUGCCGCAUGGCACAGAGGGAAAAGGAGCAAUCCGCUUUGAGAUGGCCUCGCGUCCGAUUAGCUAGUUGGUGAGGUAACGGCCCACCAAGGCGACGAUCGGUAGCCGGACUGAGAGGUUGAACGGCCACAUUGGGACUGAGACACGGCCCAGACUCCUACGGGAGGCAGCAGUGGGGAAUAUUGCACAAUGGGGGAAACCCUGAUGCAGCGACGCCGCGUGGAGGAAGAAGGUCUUCGGAUUGUAAACUCCUGUUGUUGAGGAAGAUAAUGACGGUACUCAACAAGGAAGUGACGGCUAACUACGUGCCAGCAGCCGCGGUAAAACGUAGGUCACAAGCGUUGUCCGGAAUUACUGGGUGUAAAGGGAGCGCAGGCGGGCGAUCAAGUUGGAAGUGAAAUCCAUGGGCUCAACCCAUGAACUGCUUUCAAAACUGGUCGUCUUGAGUAGUGCAGAGGUAGGCGGAAUUCCCGGUGUAGCGGUGGAAUGCGUAGAUAUCGGGAGGAACACCAGUGGCGAAGGCGGCCUACUGGGCACCAACUGACGCUGAGGCUCGAAAGUGUGGGUAGCAAACAGGAUUAGAUACCCUGGUAGUCCACACCGUAAACGAUGAUUACUAGGUGUUGGGAGAUUGACCCUCUCAGUGCCGCAGUUAACACAAUAAGUAAUCCACCUGGGGAGUACGACCGCA